CUUUGGCCCAGGCAAGUGCGCGGCCCUAAUCCAACCUCAACCACCCAACUGUGUCCACUGAGAUAGAUGACAGCACACUGCUGGCAGAGACAGGCACGCUGGCUAGUGACACCUUCUUUCAGGCUUAUCUUUUGAAUGGACUUGCAAGGUGGAAUGAGGAUCGGGAUGUGGCAGCAACUAUUGAUGAGCAGCAGCCACAUUCCUACAAUCAUCUUCUGCCUCAUGCUGUCAAUACUCUUGAAGAGGAGCUUAUGGGCAUGAAAAUCAUCCCUUAUGUUGGGCCAAGAAAGUACACUGGUGAGCUUAUUGGAGUGGAUUAUCUUUGUUACGGUAGUAUGUCCUUUUAGCAAUGGAGACAUUAUUAGAGAAGGAAGAGAGGAGUGACUAAUACACAUUAAGGUCAGUAAUAUAUUUGGAUUUGCGCCACACCCUUUCAGCAGCUCUAAGCUUAGAACGAUGUUCGCAGAGAAAAUCAGAAGGGGUACUUGCUGGCCUGGAAGUGAAGGGGCAAACCGUGUCUAAACAAGAUGUAAGAGUGGAGCAGAAAAUAUCAGUAGCACUGUUAGCAUCAAAAGAGGCUAACAGUUUAGGGGAAGGAAGCAAAGAUGAAACCAUGGCAGAUUGCCGGGAUGAGAGGUGAGAGUAAGCAUGGAUUAUGUCGUCAGAUGACCUGUGGAGAUGCAGGCUUCUGAACUGAACACUGAUAACAACUUGGGUUGUCCUUGUCCUCUUUAGUCCAGAUGACAUGGGGUCCCAGUUUUCCAAAAAUAACUUCAAAUUUUGAUUCGUCUGACCACAGAACAGUUUUCCAUUUUGCCACAGUCCAUAAAUGAGCCUUGGCCCAGAGAAAAUGCCUGUGGUUCUGGAUCAUGUUUAGAUAUGGCUUCUUUUUUGUAGUUCAAAAGGGUAAACACAAUAGUGGAAGUUGACUUGAGAUGGAGGAAGUUACAUUCGUCAACGACCAUGAAUGCAAGACUUUUAAAGGGAUA